UUGGCUCAGAAGCAGCCACUCAUUUAAAGAGUGCGUAAUAGCUCACUGGUCGAGUGAUUCUGCGCCGAAAAUUUAACGGGGCUAAACCAUACACCGAAGCUUGGGAAUAUAUGGUCGCAAGAUUGUAUGUUGGUAGGAGAGCGUCGUAUACGGGGUGAAGUCAUAGCGAAAGCGGUGGUGGACUGUAUACGAGUGAGAAUGCCGGAAUGAGUAGCGAGAAUUAUGUGAGAAUCAUAAUGGCCGAAAGACUGAGGUUUUAGAAGGAAGGUUCGUCCGCUUCUAGUUAGCCGGGGGCUAAGGCGAGGCCGAGAGGCGUAGUCGAUGCACAUACGGUUGAGAUUCCGUAGCCACCUUAAAUUUAAACUGAGGGACACAUCGAAAGGGCAUAACCCGGGCGUUGGUUGACCCGGGCGUAAGGGAACGAAGAUUAGUAGGGAAGUAUGCUUGGACGGUGGCGAGAAAAGCUCAGUGUAUAUCAUUAGGGUGCCCGUACUGCAAACCGACACAGGUAGUCAGGAAGAGAAUUCUAAGGCCAACGGGAGAAGGAUUGUUAAGGAACUCGGCAAAUUGGCCCCGUAACUUCGGAAUAAGGGGUGCUCACGAGAGUGAGCCGCAGUGAAUAGGUCCAGGCAACUGUUUAUCAAAAACACAGCUCUCUGCUAAAUCGUAAGAUGACGUAUAGGGGGUGACACCUGCCCGGUGCUGGAAGGUUAAGAGGAGGGGUGCAAGCUCCGAAUUGAAGCCCCAGUAAACGGCGGCCGUAACUAUAACGGUCCUAAGGUAGCGAAAUUCCUUGUCGGGUAAGUUCCGACCCGCACGAAUGGUGUAAUGAUCUGGACACUGUCUCAACAAUCCACCCGGCGAAAUUGUAGUACCGGUGAAGAUGCCGGUUACCCGCGGCAAGACGGAAAGACCCCAUGGAGCUUUACUGCAGCUUGAUAUUGGGUUUCGGUAUUCUAUUUACAGGAUAGGCGGGAGACAGAGAAACCGGGACGCCAGUUCCGGCGGAGUCGUCCUUGGGAUACCGCUAUUAGAGUAUUGGAAUUCUAACCUGCGGCCUUGAAUCAGGUCGGGGGACAUUGUCAGGUGGGCAGUUUGACUGGGGCGGUCGCCUCCAAAAGAGUAACGGAGGCGUUCAAAGGUUCACU
rnacentral:rRNA from 1 species